CCCUUAGAUGUCCUGGGCUGCACGCGCGCUACACUGAUGUGUCCAGUAAGCACCUAACCUAUUCCGAGAGGAGCGGGUAACCUUAGCAAAGCACAUCGUGAUGGGGAUAGAUUAUUGCAAUUAUUAGUCUUGAACGAGGAAUUCCUAGUAAGCACAAGUCAUCAGCUUGUGUUGAUUACGUCCCUGCCCUUUGUACACACCGCCCGUCGCUCCUACCGAUUGAAUGUUCCGGUGAGCUCUUCGGACUGCGCGGUCCGCAGUUUCUGCGUUCCGUGCGGAAAGUUGUGCAAACCUUAACAUUUAGAGGAAGGAGAAGUCGUAACA
rnacentral:rRNA from 1 species